rnacentral:tRNA from 1 species
UGGGUAUUGUUGAAGUGGCUUAACAAACUGGGUUUUGACCCCAGCAAGGAGAAAUCCGUCCCAAGUUCGAAUCUUGGAUACCCAACCA